GGAACAUGGGUGACCUUUGGAGGCCAGAUCACCGAUGAGAUGGCAGAGCAGCUGAUGACCCUGGCUUAUGACAAUGGAAUCAACCUGUUUGAUACAGCCGAAGUCUAUGCUGCUGGAAAAGCCGAAGUCGUACUGGGAAAUAUCAUUAAGAGGAAGGGAUGGAGG